GGUGAGUAAUGUAGUGGGAUCUGCCUGAGGGCGGGGGAUAACUACUGGAAACGGUAGCUAAUACCGCAUAAUGUCUGCGGACCAAAGCGGGGGACCUCCGGGCCUCGCGCCAUCAGAUGAACCCAUAUGGGAUUAGCUUGUAGGUAAGGUAACGGCUUACCUAGGCGACGAUCCCUAGCUGGUCUGAGAGGAUGACCAGCCACACUGGAACUGAGACACGGUCCAG
rnacentral:rRNA from 1 species